rnacentral:lncRNA from 1 species
AUUUGACACUGAAGUGUUAUUACUGAAAGGAACAUCAGUUGCAGGAGAAUCUUCAGCUUCAAGGGUUUCAUCAGCAUCGGACAAAUGAGUUGUCGAGCUGACCGCAGUACCUUGAUUUACAGAACUUGGGUCUGAAGCGAUAGGAUCAGGAAUAAUAGCUUCUUCUUCAGUAUGAGAAACUUCAUCAUAUGGGCAAGAGAGAAGCUCUUGAAAGAUAGAAGAGGAAUGAACUACUUUUUCAUCAGUGUAUGAUUCUUCAUCAAACUUUACAUGAAUGGAUUCCUCAAUGCACUGCCUGUUCACAUGAAAAACACGAAAAGCCUUUGAAAUAGAUGAAUAUCCAACAAAAAUACCUUUGUCAGCCUUAGGCUCAAAUUUUGAUCUGGGAUCGCGCUGAUUGAGUAUAUAGCAAACACAUCCAAACACGUGAAAGAAGGAUACGUCUGGCUUUCGACCUUUCAGCAUCUCAUAUGGUGUCUUCUUGUGAACCUUGUGAAUUAGAGAGCGAUUCUGAGUAUAACAUGCUGUAUUAACAGCUUCAGCCCAAAAUGACAUAGGGAGACCAGCAUGUAUCAUCAAGGUUCUUCCUGCCUCAAUCAGUGUUCGAUUUCUUCGUUCAGCAACUCCGUUUUGUUGAGGUGUGCGAGGAGCUGAAAAGUUCUGCCCAAUGCCUUUAAAAUCACAAAAGUCUUCAAGAGUUGAAUUCCGGAACUCAGUGCCAUGAUCACUCCUUAGCUGCUUAACUUUGAGACCAGUCAGUGUCUCGUUUUGACGAAUCAGGGAGAUAAUUUCCUGUGCAGCAUGACCUUUCUUCUUCAAGAAAACCACCCAUGUAAAUCGAGUAAACUCAUCCACAACCACCAGAGUAUACUUGUUUCCUCCUAGGGAACGAACAGGAAUAGGUCCAAACAAGUCCAUGUGAAGUAAANUAGCCAUUUUCAAGAAGAUAUGAUGUCAGUGUCUCAUACCAGGCCCUGGGAGCUUGCUUCAGUCCAUAUACAGCUUUAUCUAGUCUGUACACAUAGUCAGGGUGCUCUUUGUCUUCAAAGCCUGGGGGCUGUUUGAGAAAUACUUCUUCUUCUAACACACCAUGAAGAAAUGUUGUUUUGACAUCCAUCUGGUAGACAAUGAAGUUCAUGUAUGAGGCAUAUGCGAGAAACAGUCUGAUUGCUUCAAUGCGGGCAACUGGAGCAAAAGUCUCCCCGUAGUCAAUAGAUUCAAUUUGAGUGAACCCCUGAGCAACAAGUCUUGCUUUGUUGCGAGUAAUAAUACCAUCUUUAUCAACCUUGUUGCGGUAGACCCAGCGUGUUCCGGUGAUGGUCUUUCCUGAUGGUCUGGGAACAAGAGUCCAAACCUUGUGCCUUUCGAACUCAUUCAGCUCGUCUUGCAUGGCUUUAAUCCAGUCAGCGUCUUGAAGAGCUGAGUGUAUCUUGUCAGGUAAGAUCAUUGAAACGAAAUUAACAUACAUGCAAAAAUUAUUAGAUACACGAGAUCUGGUUCGGACACCAUCAUGAAGAUUCCCAAUAAUUUGAUCAACAGGGUGAUCUCGAUGUUCAGGAGCUGAUUCCAAUGGAUUUGACACUGAAGUGUUAUUACUGAAAGGAACAUCAGUUGCAGGAGAAUCUUCAGCUUCAAGGGUUUCAUCAGCAUCGGACAAAUGAGUUGUCGAGCUGACCGCAGUACCUUGAUUUACAGAACUUGGGUCUGAAGCGAUAGGAUCAGGAAUAAUAGCUUCUUCUUCAGUAUGAGAAACUUCAUCAUAUGGGCAAGAGAGAAGCUCUUGAAAGAU